rnacentral:rRNA from 1 species
UACAGAGGGUGCAAGCGUUAAUCGGAAUUACUGGGCGUAAAGCGUGCGUAGACGGUUGCGUAAGUCAGAUGUGAAAGCCCCGGGCUCAACCUGGGAAUUGCAUUUGAGACUGCGUAGCUAGGGUGCGGAAGAGGGAAGCGGAAUUUCCGGUGUAGCGGUGAAAUGCGUAGAGAUGUGGAGGAACACCGAUGGCGAAGGCGGCGUUCUGGACUGCAACUGACACUGAGGAACGAAAGCCAGGGAGCAAACGGG